rnacentral:rRNA from 1 species
GAUGAACGCUGGCGGCGUGCCUAAUACAUGCAAGUCGAGCGAACAGACGAGGGGCUUGCUCCUCUGACGUUAGCGGCGGACGGGUGAGUAACACGUGGAUAACCUACCUAUAAGACUGGGAUAACUUCGGGAAACCGGACCUAAUACCGGAUAAUAUAUUGAACCGCAUGGUUCAAUAGUGAAAGACGGUUUUGCUGUCACUUAUAGAUGGAUCCGCGCCGCAUUAGCUAGUUGGUAAGGUAACGGCUUACCAAGGCAACGAUGCGUAGCCGACCUGAGAGGGUGAUCGGCCACACUGGAACUGAGACACGGUCCAGACUCCUACGGGAGGCAGCAGUAGGGAAUCUUCCGCAAUGGGCGAAAGCCUGACGGAGCAACGCCGCGUGAGUGAUGAAGGUCUUCGGAUCGUAAAACUCUGUUAUUAGGGAAGAACAAAUGUGUAAGUAACUAUGCACGUCUUGACGGUACCUAAUCAGAAAGCCACGGCUAACUACGUG